rnacentral:tRNA from 1 species
GCGGAUGUGGCGGAAUUGGCAGACGCGCAGGCUUCAGGUGCCUGUGCCCCUCGGGGCGUGGAGGUUCGACUCCUCUCAUCCGCA